GCAGUCGUGGCCGAGUGGUUAAGACGACAGACUAGAAAUCUGUUGGGGUCUCCCCGCACAGGUUCGAAUCCUGUCGACUGCG
rnacentral:tRNA from 1 species